rnacentral:lncRNA from 1 species
GUAUGCUGAUAUGGUAUUUACUUACAUCUUUAUUAUGGAGAUGCUUCUGAAAUGGGUAGCUUAUGGUUUGCACAGUUAUUUCACAAAUGCAUGGUGUUGGCUCGACUUCAUCAUUGUGUGUCUUUCUUGUGUUUCCUGGGGACUAAGAGGCAAUUCACAACAAAAUUCACAAUGUUCCUCUGAGGGUGCCCUGAAGUCUCUCAGGACGCUCCGAGCACUGAGGCCUCUACGAGCACUGUCAAGAUUUGAAGGGAUAAAGGUUGUUGUGAAUGCACUUUUGGGAGCUAUCCCCUCGAUCUUGAACGUUUUACUCGUCUGUGUUGUCUUCUGGCUCCUGUUUAACAUUGUAGGAGUAAAACUACUUGGACAAAAAUUUUGGAAAUGCGUGCUUAAGACAGGAGAUAACAGAGAAGUUCAGAACAUAAAUGACUGUAGGAAUUAUGGUGGAAAAUGGACAAACAGUUAUGUAAAUUUUGAUCAUGUUGGGAUGGGAUACUUGGCUCUUCUCCAGGUGGCAACUUUUAAAGGCUGGAUGGACAUUAUGUAUGCAGCAGUGGAUGCGCGUCAGAUAGAUGAACAGCCACAAUUU